CCUACGGGUGGCAGCAGUGAGGAAUAUUGGUCAAUGGGCGCGAGCCUGAACCAGCCAAGUCGCGUGAGGGAGGACGGCCCUACGGGUUGUAAACCUCUUUUGCCUGGGGGCAACGGGCGACACGUGUGGCGUCACUGAGAGUACCCGGAGAAAAAGCAUCGGCUAAACCCGUGCCAGCAGCCGCGGUAAUACGGAGGAUGCGAGCUGUAUCCGGAUUUAUUGGGUUUAAAGGUUGCGUAGGCGGCGCGUUAAGUCAGUGGUAAAAUUGGGGGGCUCACCCCGUUCCAGCCUGUGAAACUGGCGUGCUUGAGUGGAAGAGAGGUAUGCGGAAUGCGUGGUGUAGCGGUGAAAUGUUUAGAUAUCAGGAGGAACACCGGUGGCGAAGGCGGCCUGCUGGACUGCAACUGACGUUGAGGCCCGAAAGCGUGGGGAGCAAACAGGAUUAGAUACCCUUGUAGUC
rnacentral:rRNA from 1 species